GAUGAACGCUGACAGAAUGCUUAACACAUGCAAGUCAAGGUGGCGGACGGGUGAGUAAUGUCUGGGAAACUGCCUGAUGGAGGGGGAUAACUACUGGAAACGGUAGCUAAUACCGCAUACUAUCAGAUGAGCCUAGGUCGGAUUAGCUAGUUGGUGAGGUAAUGGCUCACCAAGGCUACGAUCCGUAACUGGUCUGAGAGGAUGAUCAGUCACACUGGAACUGAGACACGGUCCAGACUCCUACGGGAGGCAGCAGUGGGGAAUAUUGGACAAUGGGCGAAAGCCUGAUCCAGCCAUGCCGCGUGUGUGAAGAAGGUCUUCGGAUUGUAAAGCACUUUAAGUUGGGAGGCGUUACCGACAGAAUAAGCACCGGCUAACUCUGUGCCAGCAGCCGCGGUAAUAC
rnacentral:rRNA from 1 species